rnacentral:rRNA from 1 species
AGUCGAGCGGAACGAUCCUAGCUUGCUAGGAGGCGUCGAGCGGCGGACGGGUGAGUAACGCAUAGGAAUCUACCCAGUCGUGGGGGAUAACCUGAGGAAACUCAGGCUAAUACCGCAUACGUCCUACGGGAGAAAGCGGGGGCUCUUCGGACCUCGCGCGAUUGGAUGAGCCUAUGUCGGAUUAGCUAGUUGGUAAGGUAACGGCUUACCAAGGCGACGAUCCGUAGCUGGUCUGAGAGGAUGAUCAGCCACACCGGGACUGAGACACGGCCCGGACUCCUACGGGAGGCAGCAGUGGGGAAUAUUGGACAAUGGGCGAAAGCCUGAUCCAGCCAUGCCGCGUGUGUGAAGAAGGCUUUCGGGUUGUAAAGCACUUUCAGCGAGGAAGAAAGCGUGCCGUUUAAUACACGGUACGGACGACAUCACUCGCAGAAGAAGCACCGGCUAACUCCGUGCCAGCAGCCGCGGUUAAUACGGGAGGGUGCCAAGCGGUUAAUCGGAAAUUACUGGGGCGUAAAAGCGCGCGUAGGCGGGCGUGUCACCGCCGGGUGUGAAAGCCCCGGGCUCAACCUGGGAACGGCAUCCGGAACGGGCAGGCUAGAGUGCAGGAGAGGAAGGUAGAAUUCCCCGGUGUAGCGGUGAAAUGCGUAGAGAUCGGGAGGAAUACCAGUGGCGAAGGCGGCCUUCUGGACUGACACUGACGCUGAGGUGCGAAAGCGUGGGUAGCAAACAGGAUUAGAUACCCUGGUAGUCCACGCCGUAAACGAUGUCGACUAGCCGUUGGGUCCCUUGAGGACUUAGUGGCGCAGUUAACGCGAUAAGUCGACCGCCUGGGGAGUACGGCCGCAAGGUUAAAACUCAAAUGAAUUGACGGGGGCCCGCACAAGCGGUGGAGCAUGUGGUUUAAUUCGAUGCAACGCGAAGAACCUUACCUACCCUUGACAUCCUGCGAACCCGGAAGAGAUUCCGGGGUGCCUUCGGGAGCGCAGAGACAGGUGCUGCAUGGCUGUCGUCAGCUCGUGUUGUGAAAUGUUGGGUUAAGUCCCGUAACGAGCGCAACCCUUGUCCCUAUUUGCCAGCGAUUCGGUCGGGAACUCUAGGGAGACUGCCGGUGACAAACCGGAGGAAGGUGGGGACGACGUCAAGUCAUCAUGGCCCUUACGGGUAGGGCUACACACGUGCUACAAUGGCCGGUACAAAGGGUUGCGAAAGCGCGAGCUGAAGCUAAUCCCGAAAAGCCGGUCUCAGUCCGGAUCGGAGUCUGCAACUCGACUCCGCGAAGUCGGAAUCGCUAGUAAUCGUGCAUCAGAAUGGCACGGUGAAUACGUUCCCGGGCCUUGUACACACCGCCCGUCACACCAUGGAAGUGGACUGCACCAGAAGUGGUUAGCUUAACCUUCGGGAGAGCGAUCACC